GACCAGACAUCAAUGUGUUGGCCUCGACCACGUUCUCAAAUGCCUCGGUACAAACACCGCGAGUGUUGGAAAGAAUAGCGCUCAGGGCAUACUUUUCAAGAGUGUCUUUGCAAGCACGGGCAAUGUAACGGCCAGCAAUGGAGGCCACACCUCCGGCAAAGGAAGUGGAAUUUGAGCGAAUAACGGAUUCAGUUUCCACCCAGGUGGACAAAGCAUCACCAAUGCCACUAAUAAGGAAGCGGACGGGAGCGCGAACAAUCACAUCGGUAUCGAUGAAAAUGAGGUUGGGAUUAAGGGGGUAAAAGCUGUAUUUUUGGAAUUGACCGUCAGGAGUGUAAAUGACGGAAAGAGAGGAAGUAGCGGCAUCAGAGGAGGCAGUAGUAGGACAAAUGAUGGAUGGAAGAUUCAUGGAAUGAGCAAUAUACU